UACAUGGAGGCUGAAGGCGAAGGGUGUUUUGUGCGAGAUCUCUGUUCGGACCUCCAAUCAGUCAAGAAUACCCGCUGAAUUUAAGCAUAU
rnacentral:rRNA from 1 species